rnacentral:rRNA from 1 species
GAUAAACGCUGGCGGCGCACAUAAGACAUGCAAGUCGAACGGACUUAACCUAUAGUUUACUAUUGGAGCGGUUAGUGGCGGACUGGUGAGUAACGCGUAAGCAAUCUGCCUAUCAGAGGGGAAUAACAGUGAGAAAUCACUGCUAAUACCGCAUAACAUACGGAUGUCGCAUGGCAACCGUAUCAAAGAUUUUAUCGCUUGAAGAUGGACUCGCGUCCGAUUAGCCAGUUGGCGGGGUAACGGCCCACCAAAGCGACGAUCGGUAGCCGGACUGAGAGGUUGAACGGCCACAUUGGGACUGAGACACGGCCCAG